rnacentral:lncRNA from 1 species
AGUCCCAGCGGGGAUGGGAACACGAGCGCAGCCUCCGCUGUUACGCCCCGGAGGGAGGCAGGACAGUUCCCUGCGGUAGAAAGGAGCGGCCGUCGGGGAAGUCCUGCGUCUGAAGGAGGGGGAUCUGGCCCUUAGAAGAUGGGAGGGCUGGCGUUAGCUGUUGAGCAAACGGGGAGCUGUGGGUUUCACCGUGGGUGCGAACAAAGGCUUCAGUUUGUAGUGGCUGCUGUUG